UACGUAGGGACCGAGCGUUGUCCGGAAUUACUGGGCGUAAAGGGUGCGCAGGCGGUUAUAUAAGACAGAUGUGAAAUCCCCGGGCUCAACCUGGGAACUGCGUUUGUGACUGUAUGACUAGAGUACGGUAGAGAGGGGUGGAAUUCCUGGUGUAGCAGUGAAAUGCGUAGAUAUCAGGAGGAACAUCGAUGGCGAAGGCAGCCCCUUGGACCUGUACUGACGCUCAUGCACGAAAGCGUGGGGAGCAAACAGG
rnacentral:rRNA from 1 species